AGUGAACGCUGGCGGUAGGCCUAACACAUGCAAGUCGAACGGCAGCACAGUAAGAGCUUGCUCUUACGGGUGGCGAGUGGCGGACGGGUGAGGAAUACAUCGGAAUCUACUUUUUCGUGGGGGAUAACGUAGGGAAACUUACGCUAAUACCGCAUACGACCUACGGGUGAAAGCAGGGGAUCUUCGGACCUUGCGCGAUUGAAUGACCCGAUGUCGGAUUAGCUAGUUGGCGGGGUAAAGGCCCACCAAGGCGACGAUCCGUAGCUGGUCUGAGAGGAUGAUCAGCCACACUGGAACUGAGACACGGUCCAGACUCCUACGGGAGGCAGCAGUGGGGAAUAUUGGACAAUGGGCGCAAGCCUGAUCCAGCCAUACCGCGUGGGUGAAGAAGGCCUUCGGGUUGUAAAGCCCUUUUGUUGGGAAAGAAAAGCAGCAGGUUAAUACCCCGCUGUUCUGACAGUACCCAAAGAAUAAGCACCGGCUAACUUCGUG
rnacentral:rRNA from 1 species